rnacentral:lncRNA from 1 species
UGUUUAUCAUCUUAAUAACGUGUUAUAUACUGCAGCUGUGCUAUUUGAGCAGUCAAAUUGCAUUGACCGUAUAUUCAUAUGUGAUAUACAGUCACUGACCGUAUAUCACCUUGUUUAUGACGUUGACAAUGUGUUUCCGUAGAGUUUUAUUUAUGACGUCAAUAAAACAUACAGGUUCGCGGCAAUUUUAUGUUGUACGCUCACAAUUAAAGAAUGACGGUUUUUACCCUAAAUACUUCAUUUAGAACAGUUAUAAGAGUUGCAGUAUAUAAAGAAUAACCAUACAUUGUCUCGAAAUAUCAAUCUGUUAUUUGUACUCGGCUCGAAACAGAUAGAAAUGCUCGGCACAGCCUCGCUUCCUACCUGUUUCUAAGCCUUGUACAAAUAACAUUGAUAUUUCGAGACAAUGUAUGGUUAUUCUAUAUAUAUUAUUCUU